rnacentral:snRNA from 2 species
GGAUGUGAGGGCGAUCUGGCUGCAACAUCUGUCACCCCAUUGAUCUCCAGGGUUGAUUCGGCUGAUCUGGCUGGCUAGGCGGGUGUCCCCUUCCUCCCUCACCGCUCCAUGUGCGUCCCUCCCGAAGCUGCGUGCUGGUCGAAGAGGACGACCAUCCCCGAUACAGGAGGACCGUUCUUCGGUCAAGGGUAUACGAGUAGCUGCGCUCCCCUGCUAAAACCUCCAAACUAGCUCUCUAUCCCAGGACCCCGAGAUCAUGACCUGAGCCAAAGUCAAAUGCUCAACUGACUGAGCCACCCAGGUGCCCCACAUC